CCCACGCCUUGAAGGCCCCGAGAAGCCUGUCUGUUCUUGCCAUCGGCAAAGACCGCACAGAGAGGAAGCUGGAGCUGUGGGCGAACAAUAAACAGCAUCUUGAGAAGCAGUGUAGCCAGGCGUGGUGGCGAACGCCUGUGAUCCCGGCACUCGGGAGGCUGAGGCAGGAGGAUCACUAUGAGUUCAAGAACAGCCUGGAUUACAUAGUGAGUUCAAGGCCAGCCUGGAUCACAUGUUCAGUGCUGACCGGAAGCUCAAGGAAGCAUGAGGCAGACGAAGAAGAAGAUGGAGGUGGUGACAACAGCAGGAGCAAGAGAGGGAGAGAGGAUGUGACAAAGUAGAGCAGCCACAACUCUGCCCUCCAGGACACAGAGCUCUGCAGGGCAGGACAAAGAGCUUCCUCCUCCUCCUCCUCCUCCUCCUGCUCCUCACCACGUUCCCACAUCUAAGGGCCAUCCCCAGGAGGGAACAAGCCUUUCCCAGCAGCAACCUUUAUCUUGCAACCCCUGUUAUCUAAACAAAGCCCUAGGGGCCCUCAGCCUUACCUGAGCAGCUCCCUCCAGCAUUUACAUAAAGUCGGCUCUGGAACACAGCUGCAGAGGCUGGGGUGACAGGCCUGGCAGUCAGGGGGCACUUUUUGAAAGUUUGCUUCAGCAUGGAAGGACUGGGUCUGUAGGAAGGCAAAGGGGUGUGCACAGGCAUAUUACUUACCUAAUUUAAGACUUUCAAUAUAGAAAUGGACUAGAGCACACAGGACAAAUGCUAACAUAAAUGAACUCUUCAUGUUAUGGAACUAUACACCGGGUGACUGAAAUAUAGUUAAUACCUAAAUUUAAAAUAUCGAUUACAGUAAAAGACACAUUCCACUGAUCUCUUUCAAAACACCUCCUCCUCCUUCAAACACUCGUCCCAUCGUCCUUGGAUGUUCUGCAGCAGCUCUGGAGUCCUCCUUCCGGAGUGUCAUUAUGAAGUGUGAUCAAAAACACAGUGAAUGCUGCUGCUGUGUGCCAUCCAAUGGAAAGGCAGCUCAUAAAAACACGACACUGUGUCUUCAUCCACUUCCUUCAUUGGAUCUGGCACUGGGUGACUUCUGGUUCCUCCCCAGAGUCAAAAUGACCAUGAAAGGGAGAUGUUUUGAAUCCAUUCAGGACACUGAGGCAGCCAGGAAAGCACAAUGAACAACACUCACAGAGGAGGACUUCCAGAACUGCUUCAGAAAGUGGCAGGAUGUUGGGA